rnacentral:rRNA from 1 species
AGUAAAAGUCGUAACAAGGUUUCCGUAGGUGAACCUGCGGAAGGAUCAUUAAAGAGUAAGGGUGCUCAGCGCCCGACCUCCAACCCUUUGUUGUUAAAACUACCUUGUUGCUUUGGCGGGACCGCUCGGUUCCGAGCCGCUGGGGAUUCGUCCCAGGCGAGUGCCCGCCAGAGUUAAACCAAACUCUUGUUAUUAAACCGGUCGUCUGAGUUAAAAUUUUGAAUAAAUCAAAACUUUCAACAACGGAUCUCUUGGUUCUCGCAUCGAUGAAGAACGCAGCGAAAUGCGAUAAGUAAUGUGAAUUGCAGAAUUCAGUGAAUCAUCGAAUCUUUGAACGCACAUUGCGCCCCUUGGUAUUCCGAGGGGCAUGCCUGUUCGAGCGUCAUUACACCACUCAAGCUAUGCUUGGUAUUGGGUGCCGUCCUUAGUUGGGCGCGCCUUAAAGACCUCGGCGAGGCCACUCCGGCUUUAGGCGUAGUAGAAUUUAUUCGAACGUCUGUCAAAGGAGAGGAACUCUGCCGAUUGAAACCUUUAUUUUUCUAGGUUGACCUCGGAUCAGGUAGGGAUACCCGCUGAACUUAAGCAUAUCAAUAAGCGGAGGAAAAGAAACCAACAGGGAUUGCCUUAGUAACG